UACGGGGGGUGCGAGCGUUGUCCGGAAUCACUGGGCGUAAAGGGCGCGUAGGUGGUUUGAUAAGGGUGUGGUGAAAGUCCGGAGCUCAACUCCGGAUCUGCCGUGCCGACUGUCAAACUCGAGGGCUGUAGAGGCAGACGGAAUUCCGGGUGUAGCGGUGGAAUGCGUAGAGAUCCGGAGGAAGACCGGUGGCGAAGGCGGUCUGCUGGGCAGUUUCUGACACUGAGGCGCGACAGCGUGGGGAGCGAACAGG
rnacentral:rRNA from 1 species